GCUGGACCAGCUUAUGCCUGAUCUUCUUUAAUCUGACUUGCUAAAGUCAGUGAGAGGAUUUAUGAUUAACUAGUCAAGUCUUUUUUCAUCUCUCAAUUCAACUAAUUAAAUCUUCUAAAAUUGUUAGGUCCCUAAAAUGAAAUAGUUAUGGUGAUAACUAGAUCAUAGCCUCCCAUUAAGUUGGAUGAUAAUGAGUCCAAUAGUUUAGAUGAUCAUUGGAGAUGCCACACAUUUGGUGCUCAUCUGACUAUAGAAAUUAUCAUUCAUAAUAUGUUGAUUUAGUUGUCUUUCUGAUGAUGGUUAGGUUGGCUGAGCC
rnacentral:lncRNA from 1 species